GCAGCAGCAGCAGCAGGGUUUGUCGUGUGCGGCGG
rnacentral:SRP_RNA from 14 species